GCGCAGCAGGCGCGAAACCUCCGCAAUGCGGGAAACCGUGACGGGGUCACCCCGAGUGCCACCCGAUGAGGGUGGCUUUUCCCCGGUCUAAAAAGCCGGGGGCAAUAAGCGGGGGGCAAGUCUGGUGUCAGCCGCCGCGGUAAUACCAGCCCCGCGAGUGGUCGGGACGUUUAUUGGGCCUAAAGCGUCCGUAGCCGGCUCGGUAAGUCCCUCCUUAAAUCCACGGGCUCAACCCGUGGGCUGGGAGGGAUACUGCCGGGCUAGGGGGCGGGAGAGGCCGAGGGUACUCCCGGGGUAGGGGCGAAAUCCGUUAAUCCCGGGAGGACCACCAGUGGCGAAGGCGCUCGGCUGGAACGCGCCCGACGGUGAGGGACGAAAGCUAGGGGAGCAAAGGGGAUUAGAUACCCCCGUAGU
rnacentral:rRNA from 1 species